rnacentral:misc_RNA from 1 species
CCAAACUUGGUCAUUUAGAGGAAGUAAAAGUCGUAACAAGGUUUCCGUAGGUGAACCUGCGGAAGGAUCAUUAUUGAAUAAGAAAGGUGGGUUGUAGCUGGCUUUUCGAAGCAAGUGCACGCCCACUAACUUAAUUCAUCCCCCUGUGCACCUUUUGUAGUCCUGUAUGCAGAGUGGCUUGAAGGCCUCGUAUGUGAAGAGGAGUGAUUCUUUUCACUGAGGUGAUUGGGACCUAUGCUACUCAGGUCUAUGAUUUUUCCACACACCAUGUAGUAUGUUACAGAAUGUGAUUGAUGGGCCUUUGUGCCUAUACAACUCUAUACAACUUUCAGCAACGGAUCUCUUGGCUCUCGCAUCGAUGAAGAACGCAGC